UACGGAGGGUGCAAGCGUUAUCCGGAUUCACUGGGUUUAAAGGGUGCGUAGGCGGGUUGGUAAGUCAGUGCUGAAAUAUCCCAGCUUAACUGGGAGGGUGGCAUUGAUACUGCGGGGCUAGAGUACAGAUGAGGUAGGCGGAAUUGACGGUGUAGCGGUGAAAUGCUUAGAUAUCGUCAAGAACACCUAUAGCGAAGGCAGCUUACUAGGCUGUAACUGACGCUGAGGCACGAAAGUGUGGGGAUCAAACAGG
rnacentral:rRNA from 1 species